rnacentral:tRNA from 1 species
GGCUGGGUAGCUCAGUCGGUUAGAGCGAGGGUUUCAUAAGCCCUAGGUCGCCGGUUCGAGUCCGGCCUCAGCCACCA